AGCCAGCUGACGAGUCACAAGUAGGACGAAGCGCGCGUCCGGGAU
rfam:Schistosoma curassoni strain Dakar, Senegal genome assembly, scaffold: SCTD_scaffold0000800